CCGAGUUUACAACUCCCAAACCCCUGUGAACAUACCAUAACGUUGCUUCGGCGGAUCAGCCCCUCGCCUCGCCGCGAGGGCCCGCCAGAGGACCCCUAAACCCCAAACUUUUGUUUUAUUUUUGGCCUUGCAAACCCAAUUCUGAGUGGAUUUUUACAAAUCAAAAUUA
rnacentral:misc_RNA from 1 species